rnacentral:rRNA from 1 species
UACAGAGGUCUCAAGCGUUGUUCGGAUUUAUUGGGCGUAAAGGGUGCGUAGGUGGCGCCGUAAGUCGGGUGUGAAAUUUCGGAGCUUAACUCCGAAACUGCAUUCGAUACUGCGGUGCUUGAGGACUGGAGAGGAGACUGGAAUUCAUGGUGUAGCAGUGAAAUGCGUAGAGAUCAUGAGGAAGACCAGUGGCGAAGGCGGGUCUCUGGACAGUUCCUGACACUGAGGCACGAAGGCCAGGGGAGCAAACGGG